rnacentral:rRNA from 1 species
UACGUAGGGGGCUAGCGUUGUCCGGAAUCCAUUGGGCGUAAAGAGCGUGUAGGCGGCCCGGUAAGUCCGCUGUAAAAGUCAAAGGCUCAACCUCGAGAUGUCGGCGGAAACCGCUGGCUAGAGUCCGGAAGAGGAGAGUGGAAUUCCUGGUGUAGCGGUGAAAUGCGCAGAUAUCGGGAGGAACACCGGGUGGCGAAGGCGGUCUCUGGGCCUUACCUGACGCUGAGGAACGAAAGCCAGGGUAGCGAACGGG